rnacentral:rRNA from 1 species
UGAUUUACAUUUGAAGUGAGUGGCGAACUGGUGAGUAACACCGUGGGAAACCUGCCCAGAAGCGGGGGAUAACACCUGGAAACAGAUGCUAAUACCGCAUAACAACUUGGACCGCAUGGUCCGAGNUUGAAAGAUGGCUUCGGCUAUCACUUUUGGAUGGUCCCGCGGNGUAUUAGCUAGAUGGUGGGGUAACGGCUCACCAUGGCAAUGAUACGUAGCCGACCUGAGAGGGUAAUCGGCCACAUUGGGACUGAGACACGGCCCAAACUCNUACGGGAGGCAGCAGUAGGGAAUCUUCCACAAUGGACGAAAGUCUGAUGGAGCAACGCCGCNUGAGUGAAGAAGGGUUUCGGCUCGUAAAACUCUGUUGUUAAAGAAGAACAUAUCUGAGAGUAACUGUUCAGGUAUUGACGGUAUUUAACCAGAAAGCCACGGCUAACUACGUGCCAGCAGCCGCGGUAAUACGUAGGUGGCAAGCGUUGUCCGGAUUUAUUGGGCGUAAAGCGAGCGCAGGCGGUUUUUUAAGUCUGAUGUGAAAGCCUUCGGCUCAACCGAAGAAGUGCAUCGGAAACUGGGAAACUUGAGUGCAGAAGAGGACAGUGGAACUCCAUGUGUAGCGGUGAAAUGCGUAGAUAUAUGGAAGAACACCAGUGGCGAAGGCGGCUGUCUGGUCUGUAACUGACGCUGAGGCUCGAAAGUAUGGGUAGCAAACAGGAUUAGAUACCCUGGUAGUCCAUACCGUANACGAUGAAUGCUAAGUGUUGGAGGGUUUCCGCCCUUCAGUGCUGCAGCUAACGCAUUAAGCAUUCCGCCUGGGGAGUACGGCCGCAAGGCUGAAACUCAAAGGAAUUGACGGGGGCCCGCACAAGCGGUGGAGCAUGUGGUUUAAUUCGAAGCUACNCGAAGAACCUUACCAGGUCUUGACAUACUAUGCAAAUCUAAGAGAUUAGACGUUCCCUUCGGGGACAUGGAUACAGGUGGUGCAUGGUUGUCGUCAGCUCGUGUCGUGAGAUGUUGGGUUAAGUCCCGCAACGAGCGCAACCCUUAUUAUCAGUUNCCAGCAUUAAGUUGGGCACUCUGGUGAGACUGCCGGUGACAAACCGGAGGAAGGUGGGGAUGACGUCAAAUCAUCAUGCCCCUUAUGACCUGGGCUACACACGUGCUACAAUGGAUGGUACAACGAGUUGCGAACUCGCGAGAGUAAGCUAAUCUCUUAAAGCCAUUCUCAGUUCGGAUUGUAGGCUGCAACUCGCCUACAUGAAGUCGGAAUCNCUAGUAAUCGCGGAUCAGCAUGCCGCGGUGAAUACGUUCCCGGGCCUUGUACACACCGC